UGAUUAAAUCAUUAUACUCGACCACGAGCUCGAGUACCGUCAUCCUGGAGUUCCUGAUGUACUCGUCCACAUCCUCUACAACACACCCGUC
rnacentral:sRNA from 1 species